rnacentral:lncRNA from 1 species
UUUAACUUUAACUUUGUUUAACUUUUUAACAUCUAAUAUUUGUUGUCUUAUUUCUCUUUUCAGAGUUUAGCUCCAACCCCAAUUAAGCAGACCUGAGCAGCUGAUCAAGGAUCACCAGAAACUUUGCAGAACGUUGGUCCUCCAUGCCCAGGACUGGACACCAGUGUUAUGCUGG